rnacentral:tRNA from 1 species
GGUUAAAUGGUGUUAAACACGCCAAGUUGUAAACUUGGAGUUACUUUUAGUUUUAGCUA